rnacentral:rRNA from 1 species
GACGAACGCUGGCGGCGUGCUUAACACAUGCAAGUCGAACGGAAAGGCCCUGCUUUUGUGGGGUGCUCGAGUGGCGAACGGGUGAGUAACACGUGAGUAACCUGCCCUUGACUUUGGGAUAACUUCAGGAGACUGGGGCUAAUACCGGAUAGGAGCUCCUGCUGCAUGGUGGGGGUUGGAAAGUUUCGGCGGUUGGGGAUGGACUCGCGGCUUAUCAGCUUGUUGGUGGGGUAGUGGCUUACCAAGGCUUUGACGGGUAGCCGGCCUGAGAGGGUGACCGGCCACAUUGGGACUGAGAUACGGCCCAGACUCCUACGGGAGUCAGCAGUGGGGAAUAUUGCACAAUGGGCGGAAGCCUGAUGCAGCAACGCCGCGUGCGGGAUGACGGCCUUCGGGUUGUAAACCGCUUUCGCCUGUGACGAAGCGUGAGUGACGGUAAUGGGUAAAGAAGCACCGGCUAACUACGUG